CCGACGGUGAGAGACGAAAGCUGGGGCACGAACCGGAUUAGAUACCCGGGUAGUCCCAGCCGUAAACGAUGCUCGCUAGGUGUCUGGGAUGGUGCGACCGUUUCAGGUGCCGCAGGGAAGCCGUGAGGCGAGCCACCUGGGAAGUACGGCCGCAAGGCUGAAACUUAAAGGAAUUGGCGGGGGAGCACUACAACGGGUGGAGCCUGCGGUUUAAUUGGACUCAACGCCGGAAAACUCACCUGGGGCG
rnacentral:rRNA from 1 species